rnacentral:rRNA from 1 species
UAGGGAAUAUUGGUCAAUGGGCGAAAGCCUGAACCAGCCAUGCCGCGUGCAGGAUGAAGGCCCUCAGGGUUGUAAACUGCUUUUGUACGGGAACAAAAAGCUCCUGCGGGAGCCAUUGAGGGUACCGUAAGAAUAAGCACCGGCUAACUCCGUGCCAGCAGCCGCGGUAAUACGGAGGGUGCAAGCGUUAUCCGGAUUUACUGGGUUUAAAGGGUGCGUAGGCGGCUCUUUAAGUCAGUGGUGAAAGCCUGGCGCUCAACGCCAGAAAUGCCAUUGAUACUGUAGAGCUUGAGUCGAGAAGAGGUAAGCAGAAUUCAUGGUGUAGCGGUGAAAUGCAUAGAUAUCAUGAGGAAUUCCAACAGCGAAGGCAGCUUACUGGUCUUUGACUGACGCUGAGGCACGAAAGCGUGGGGAGCAAACA